CUAUGUUAACCUAAAAAUGAAAACCCAAAAUGAGAGACUGAAAGGAAAAUGGAGGCACUAUGGACAAUCAGACCAGACCAGUUUCUGGGCAGACAUGCCUCAGCAUGUGCGCUGCAGGCCGCGCACGCGCGGAACUGUGUACGUAAACACCCUUGUGUAACCUUUACUGGCUGUGCGCCAAUUUUGCGCAACGGUCCUAUAAAAGUGGCCCUAGGAAAAGCCAGGGGCUCCCUCCUCCUGCCGGCCGGCCGAAGAGAUUAAAGCAUGUCUACGCUGUCAUCAGCUCCGCGCAUCUUUUUCCAACUCCCCAAACCCUGUGGUCCGGUCCGCAGCUGUUCCCCUUCUGCAUACACCUGGCUUAGUCAGGCAGGAUUCCAAAGUGAGGGGACCCACAGCUCCUGAGACUGACGGGACGGACACGUGGCCACCCACUUGUAUGUGGUUCCCGGUGGCGGAUGUCCUGUUGAAUUGGGCCCCUGCGGAAGGGAGGGAGCCGUGGAUGGUACCCCCGUCAGCAUCCAGCCGGCUCUGCAUAGCCUUGGGGAGCAGGUGCUGGGACGGCUGGGUGGGCUGUUUUGGACAGCCCUACGUCGCAACACGGAGUCUGCCCUGCGGGAUGCGGACCGCAUACUGGAGCUGCGAGCCAAGGAGGCCGCCGUGGAAGCGCGGGUGCCGCAGUUAGCACAGGAGUUGGAAAUGGCGCCUCGCAGCCGGACGGCGGAGGACGCUCAGGACAGGACGUGGAGGAAGCACGCCCUCUCCAUGCUCAGGCAGUAAUCUAGCAAAAGGUAAAGCACGAGCAGCCCCUGGGCCCAGGAGGUGUCGCGCAAGGAGCCCCAGUCGUGACAAAGUUCACGGCGUAUACCUUAUACGCCAACGGACCUGCGGGACUAGUACCGGCCUGGCUCCUGCGGCUAUGGGAUGAGGGGGCGGAUGGUGUCAUCUGUGCCCCAGAUGAGAUGGAGAAGCUGUCCUCCAUCACGUUGCAUCCUUCCCUUCGGCAGCAGCUACAGAUUAGCCGCCGGCUAGCCUAAGGGCAGGGGAAUCGCUCCAAGAUGGAGUGGGUGACGGCUGUCGCCUGGACAGGUGUGGCAUAACGCCUGGGAGCUUCCAGAGACUGUAAGUUGGUGGCAGACCUAUGGGAACUGGUCCAAGUUAUCCGCGAAUUGGGAAUGCGGCCCCGUCUAAUUCUUUUGGGUCCUUGGUGACGAUUUUGGCACCUUAUGUGGGGUGCCGGAUACAUGAAAUAACUACUGUCAUGGCCACUUUGGGGAACGCAGAAGGCCGGAGGAGGGAAAGAACCCUGCGUGUCGCACGGCAGAUGGCGCCCAAGCCUAAGCGAGUCACCCACAUGCAGAUGUGGAUAGAUCUGCUAGCCGCAGGCACCGGUCAGGCGAUAACAGACCGCAAACGAAGGCUGUCUUGGUGGUGCUGUGGCGCCAGUUGAAGUCUGAGCAACAGUCCCAAAAGAUGGCAGGAGUGAGGAAGAGUCCUGGCAAGAGUCGCCAGGUAAGGCUCCAGGACUUCAUGCAGUCCUCAGGAGGAGAGCCUGCGGACCUCUUUGACUAGGGGGAAGGCCCAGGUGCCCGGCUUGGGGGGAUCCCCGGAGGACUGGAGGCCAUUUGUGGAACUUGAGAUUUACUGGUCCCCCAACAAUGUACAGCGUCUGCUGACAUUUGUAAACACUGGAGCCAAUUGCAGUUUGAUUACGGCAACCCGGAGAAGUUUCCAGGGAAGCCGGCAUAUAUUGAUGGAUACGGGGGCCAUAUGGUGAAGGUGAAACUGGUGUCCUUGCCCCUUGGUGUUUGUCGCCUGCUGCCCCGGGUGUAUACAGCGUAUGUGUCCUCUAUCCCCAAGUAUGUUCUGGGGGUGGAUGUCUUGCAAGGACUGCACCUACAGGCCACAAUAAGCGAAUUCCGGUUGCGCGUGGUUAAGACUGUUGUCUGGGGCAUACGCACCAUCCGCCACAAGUGUUGCUGGUGCCGUGGGGUGUGGUGGCCAGCCGACAGUAUCGCCUUCCAGGUGGACAUGAGGAGAUCACACAGACCAUUGACAAACUAGAAGAGGCUGGGGUCGUGCGACCCACCCACAGUCCCUGUAACUCUCUGAUUUGGCCCGUGAGGAAGCCCCGCAUAUGACUGUGGACUGUGGUGGCAGACCUAUGGGAACUGGUUAUCUGCGAAUUGUUAUCCGCGAAUUGGGAAUGCGGCCCCGUCUAAUUCUUUUGGGUCCUUGGUGACGAUUUUGGCACCUUAUGUGGGGUGCCGGAUACAUGAAAUAACUAGGUGACUCCUGCGUUGCAUGUUGCUUGUGCCCUCCGUGAGUGAUAUAAUGGAUCAACUGACAGUCCGGCUGGGAUAGUACCACUGUGCUGUGGACCUUGCUAUUGCCUUCUUUUCUAUUGACAUUGCCACCGAGAGCCAAGAACAGUUUGCUUUCACCUGGGAUGGCAGACAAUGGACUUUCUGUGUGUUGCUGCAAGGAUACCUGCACAGCCCCGCUAUUUGUCGUGGGCUCAUUGCUCCGGACUUGGCUGCCUGAGCUCACAGUGAUGCAGAGCUUGUGUUUCAUUACAUUGACGAUGUUAUGUUAACCUCUGACUCUCUUGCAGAUCUAGAGCAGGCUGUUGACUCCCUGUGGAGACAUCUGGCAACAUGUGGUUGGACCAUCAACGAUGCCAAAGUCCAGGGACUUGGCUUAUCUGUCAAGUUCUUGGGGAUUGUCUGGUCAGGACCCUUGAGAGAACACAGCACACCAGGGAGACCACAGCGAUACUAUGAGGAGGAUAAAAUAUCAAGAGACUGAAGUACGCUCCUUAGCCAGGUCCUCCAUGAUCCAGACCGAUUCGGCUAACAUGUUCGUUCAGUGCCUAUGACAAUGGCCUCUCAACUGCAGUUUGCCUCCCCGCCUCUGAAGGGACACGGUACACAUUUUCCAGGCUACCCAUGGUACCUGCAACUGCCAUCACACACAGUCUUUAUAGACAAGACUUCAACUACAUCCACCUUUCUCCAGGAGCACAGGAGACACCUGCCUGCCUCAUAUCAGUCAACUCUUUGACCCCAGUGCCUUCUCCUACUGAUGAGGAUCAAGGCUGCCCCAGGGAGAGAAACCCAAGGUGACCUGCCCUACAUACCGAUCUAUAUCAUCCUCCGGGAAGCACAGGACGUCCUGACCUGAUCCCACCUGAUUCCUAUCCAAAGUUCCAGGACCACCCAAUAACCAGACCCCACCUGCACUGAUACCAUUUUAACAAUUUUUUUCAUGAUCUUUCCUUCGUCUUGUAAAGAAAUAACUCACAUACCUAUGCCUUAUAAAUUUAGCCCUACCCUCAACCCAUUGCAGCUCUUUACUGCCCACGGGCCCUGUCCCCAUGCUACUUCAUGCUAUUCUCUGAAUAAAGGAGCCCUACUGCCAG
rnacentral:lncRNA from 1 species